rnacentral:rRNA from 1 species
GACGAACGCUGGCGGCGUGCCUAAUACAUGCCAGUAGAACGCUGAAGGAGGAGCUUGCUUCUCUGGAUGAGUCGCGAACGGGUGAGUAACGCGUAGGUAACCUGCCUGGUAGCGGGGGAUAACUAUUGGAAACGAUAGCUAAUACCGCAUAAUAGUAGAUGUUGCAUGACAUUUGCUUAAAAGGUGCAAUUGCAUCACUACCAGAUGGACCUGCGUUGUAUUAGCUAGUUGGUGGGGUAACGGCUCACCAAGGCGACGAUACAUAGCCGACCUGAGAGGGUGAUCGGCCACACUGGGACUGAGACACGGCCCAGACUCCUACGGGAGGCAGCAGUAGGGAAUCUUCGGCAAUGGACGGAAGUCUGACCGAGCAACGCCGCGUGAGUGAAGAAGGGUUUCGGAUCGUAAAGCUCUGUUGUAAGAGAAGAACGAGUGUGAGAGUGGAAAGUUCACACUGUGACGGUAUCUUACCAGAAAGGGACGGCUAACUACGUG